rnacentral:sRNA from 1 species
GCUGGGCAUGGUGGUGCAUGCCUGUAAUCCCAGUGCCUUGGGAGGCUGAGAUAGAAGGAUCACGAGUUCAAAGCCAGCUUCAUCAAUGGCGAGGCACUAAGCAACUCAGUGAGACCCUGUCUCUA